CUUUGCUUCCUUUUUGUCUGGACUAUAAAUGCUGAAGAGUCAAAGUCAUGAACUGGAGAUGAAUCGUUCACCUUCUAAAGAUGGAUACAAGUCUUAAAGAGUUCUUAGUGUCUAUCGUUGAAAGCCUACCCGUCUCCUCAGAGAAAUCUUUGCCGGAAUUCGUCCACGUUCUACUCCAGGAUUUGUCUCCUGGUCUUCUUCCUGUGGGAUGGGGUGUUACGUUUAUAUCCAUUCUAUCAGCCGUCUUUGUGGCGUAUAAAUGGAACAGAGCCAAAAACAGCAAGU